rnacentral:rRNA from 1 species
AUUGAACGCUGGCGGCAUGCCUUACACAUGCAAGUCGAACGGCAGCACGGGUGCUUGCACCUGGUGGCGAGUGGCGAACGGGUGAGUAAUACAUCGGAACAUGUCCUGUAGUGGGGGAUAGCCCGGCGAAAGCCGGAUUAAUACCGCAUACGAUCUACGGAUGAAAGCGGGGGACCUUCGGGCCUCGCGCUAUAGGGUUGGCCGAUGGCUGAUUAGCUAGUUGGUGGGGUAAAGGCCUACCAAGGCGACGAUCAGUAGCUGGUCUGAGAGGACGACCAGCCACACUGGGACUGAGACACGGCCCAGACUCCUACGGGAGGCAGCAGUGGGGAAUUUUGGACAAUGGGCGAAAGCCUGAUCCAGCAAUGCCGCGUGUGUGAAGAAGGCCUUCGGGUUGUAAAGCACUUUUGUCCGGAAAGAAAUCCUUGGCCCUAAUACGGUCGGGGGAUGACGGUACCGGAAGAAUAAGCACCGGCUAACUAC